GAUCAGGUAGGGAUACCCGCUGAACUUAAGC
rnacentral:rRNA from 2 species